UACGUAGGCAGCGAGCGUUGUUCGGAAUUACUGGGGCGUAAAGCGCACGUAGGCGGCUUUGUAAGUUAGAGGUGAAAGCCCGGGGCUCAACCCCGGAAUUUGCCUUUAAGACUGCAUCGCUUGAAUCCAGGAGAGGUGAGUGGAAUUCCGAGUGUAGAGGUGAAAUUCGUAGAUAUUCGGAAGAACACCAGUGGCGAAGGGCGGCUCACUGGACUGGUAUU
rnacentral:rRNA from 1 species